CGCUGACCCACCCGCGGCAGGCUUCCGUCAGCCGGGGGAGCCCCGCAUCUCGGCGGCGGAGUGCGGCCGCAGCCGCACCGGGCGGCCCCCCCGUCCCCCCGCCGACCCGGCGGGGGAGGAGCCUGCGGGCCCCGUUUGCUGCAUUUACGUACUGAGGCGGGAGGAGGAGGAGGAUAAUGUCAAGAUCAUGGUAAUUUCGGAACAACAGUUUAUAGUCUGGAGCAGUGGCUGUUCCGUGGAUUUUGGAAUUAUGAAUUAUCCCUGUGUCCAUCCAGACAAAAACUGGAAGAUGUUGGCUAAUACAGCUCACUAAUUACAACUUCCUCCCCUCAAAAGUACAUUAUUUCCAUUAUUCUUUUAAUUUAUAAUUCUCAAGACAUCAUCUCACUGGUUCCACUCGGAUCAUCUCUUUCUAUCAAGAAACAGGUCUACUGUCAUUUGAUCCAGGGAAGCAGCUUCUAAAAGUUUGUCUGAACUGACUCAACGCAUCAUGCAACAUGACUUCUUUUUCUCUGCUUUCAUACUACUAACGCCACUUCUGACUUACAUGCUGACGCUGUCAGAAGCAAGCUCAAGCCCUCAGAAGCAACCACUGAAGUGAUAUGCUUUGCUCUACGUCCUCCUGAGAAGUCCAGGGUAUCAGAACAACUUCUCUCUCUGUAGUUCCAUCAAUGUAUUUCCAUAGACUGGCAUGCAACUAAGCACUGCAGGCGAGCAAUGUAGUCAAAGGAAAGCUUUCACCGCUGCUCAGAAGGUGUUCAGGCAGAAGAGUAUAUAUUACUGUAGGAAUGCUUGCAGACAGGACUGUUUAACAAUAAAUCUGUUCUUACUUGCAAUAAACCUUUUACCCCAGUGACUCUGAAGUCACGAGACAUGUCUAGCACAUCCCAUGUCAUGCUUGCAUGAAGUCUUGCAAAGCAAACAUAACUGAACAUUCCUGGACAAUAGCUGGUUUUUUUAAACAGUUAUUCCACAAUUGUUAACUGAACUACAAGUUAUGACAACUGAUAUAUCCAUAGUCAUCCCUUUGGCAUUCUUUGUAAAAACAUGAAUCACAGAAGCAUUCAUCAUGAGGAACUCCCAUCAUAAGGACAUGUAUACAGUGGGUCAUUCUGCCUUGCUGUAUCUUUCCACUCUGUAAAAUUUAACUGUCAGAACAACUUGAAUGAAUCAUAUAGGCCAACAUGUAUGUUUGGUAACAAAGAACUCUGAUAAAACACAUGUCAAAAUGAAUUAGUUAUGUUUAGCUUCAAGUAAUGCUUGUGUGCAGAGGAAAAAUGAAAAUUUUCUUUCUUUGUAAGUCAUUCUACCAAACAUUACAAUGGCACCACGUUGGUGUACAUUAAUCAGAAAACAAAACACUUGGAAGAAAUUGGCCUACUAACAAAGUUCAGACAUUGAAAAGCAUGGAUAAAGACCACAAACAGCAUAAAAGAACUACUAAAACAAACUGUGCUUGCACUUGGUCAACAGGAAAGGGAGGAAUUAACCAUAGCAGCUGCCCCACAGUUGUCAGAGGAAAAGGAUUAGAACUAACAAAUCCAGGAGCCCUUCCAAAGAGACUCAUGUUUUUGCCCAUGUUUCUCCGCCCCAAAGCUGUUCACCACUUGGAGUAGGGCUUGAAUGACAUGGUGUUGACAGCUAUUCUUUAGGGCAACUUUUGUCUGUCCAAGCUACAGAAUUAACAUUAAGUUUCCCUGAAAGUUGAAGCGGCUUCAUUUACAAUUGGGCCAGCCUUCUGGGGGUGACAGAAGAGGGUAUGGAUGUGGGAUAAAUGUAAGAACAAUAUACCACGUCAUAUAAAGGAAAUGAACUCAAGAGGAUGGCAUGAAUGGUGCUACCUACGGAUGUCACCUGCUAUAUUUUCCCAUAGACGUAGGUACUUGCAUUGUAAGAGACACAGUAACACCCCCUGUGUUCUUGCUCUUCCUCUUUUCCAGGCAAGAGGUGCCUAGAAUAUUUCCACUCCCUUAUGAAUACUAUUUAUUCACACUUCUGCAAGUGCAGAGGGCUGACUGGUAAGAAUUUUAUGCUAGCUCUGCUCAGGUUCAGGCAGUUAUAUAAACGAAAGUCAGAGAAAUAGCAAACAAUGAUUUCCUAAGAAACACUCAUCUUUUGGUCUAUUUUUUAAAAUGACAUACUAGAUUUAGAGUUAGUUGCUGUAAUAAUGGAAUGCCUAAUUAUAGAAAGUCAUAUGCUUAAUUGAAUUUAUUUUCAGUUUCUGUCCAUGCAUUUCUUUAAUGUGUCUAUGAAGCUGCCUAAGGCUAUCAUAAUGCAAUGUUUCAAAUGUACUCCCUAAGCCAAAAUGAUCAUAGGUGACCUUUACUCAUAACAUUACAUGUGACAGGUCUCAUACUCUAAAAAGCCAGUAAUUUCUGCUAUCCAUAGAUUUCAAAAUUGAUGUGUUUGCCACUUGGGAAAAAAUGUAUGCUUUGCUUUUAGCAGAAGUCCCAGAACUCGUAGGCUUUUCAAUGCUUCUGUGGAGCUAUGAGCCACAGUUGCCAAGAUCGUAAUUCUUAAUUUAAAUCCUAUUAUACAGAAAAAACACUGUGCAUAAUUAAAAUAUUUUUUUACAAUUCAUUACUGCAUAGAUUAAAGGAAUUUAAAUAUUUUUGUAUUAAAAAUCUAAUGAUAAAAUAGAUACAAAUUAUUUUCAUAGCGUAAAAGAAGCAAUUUGUGUUUUUUAAGGUAAGUGACACGAGCAUACUUAUCUUAGUCAUAGAUGUGGAUAUUCAGAUCAGAAAAAUGUUAUAUACAUAUAAUUAAAAGCUGUAAAAGCAAUGUUUUAAAUCCAGUAUUAUGAGCAUUCAAUUUCUAAAAAACAAUGCUGAUAUUAAGAGUAUAUAAAACCAUGUAUCACUUUAUAGCUACACUGCACAGUUACAGGCAUCUACUAACUAGAGAUUUCAUCUUAGCUCCCUUUUGCUUUCUGCAUUGACAUUUGUUUAUGGCUGAAGAAAUAACUAUGUCAAGUAUUACGUUUGCUGUGAGGCUCUUAACUUAAAGUUGCCUUCCCUAAUACAGAUGCUACUCAAUAGCCUGGAAAUUGCACGCAGGUUCCAAUUACUAAAUCUAUUUCAUACUGGAAUAGAAAAGUGAACUCCUUGCUACAACACAAGGUGUUUAUUGGCUAAAUGAGCCUUUGCCAUGAUACAACUGAAGGUACACAGCUCGAGCUUUAUUGCCGCUGAUAAAUAAUCUCUCUAAACAAUAGUUUCAUUAGGUUAACACUAAACCACAUUUUGUCCCUCUGUGCUCAGAGAAAUUGGUAGGGUAAUGGUAAGGAUAACAGGGAUUGUAUCAAAGAAAAUCUGGACUUGAGAUUCAAUGGAAACCUUUUCCUUUUAUACCCUCUCAGGGCCAGCAGCCUUGCUUUAGUGUUGUCCAGGGUACUUUAUGUUAUUAUAAGAACAGAUUUCAAGCGAUUAUGAAUCUCACACUUCAGCUUUCUUCAGUUAAAACUAUCAAGUAGUUCUAAUAGGACUAUUAAGUAAAGCAGGGCAAGAAAAGCAGCACUGUUAGUACAAUCACUGCAGAGUGUCCAGGGCACUCAGUAACCUUUCACAGAUGGCAUUUAAUGCAAUAGAGUUCACAAUUUAGUUUUUUAGAUUAGAUUAACCCUUGAAUGCAUCUCAUCUGCCUGAAAAAGAGGCAGGCAAGUGAGACAUCACAAAGCUGGAAAAGGAGGAAAAAGAGAGACAGCUAGAAGAAAAAAGAGCAGUUUCAAAAUACAUCAUUUUCUUUUGCCACAAAAACUUCAGUAUCCCACAACCACAAGGUUAUUUUUCUCCCACAACCUCAUCCCUUAUUUUCCAUCAUAAACAUCCAAUGACUUGGUCAAUACUUUUGACUUGAGCCCUGAUCUUGCACAUUUGCACAUACAUUUAGUAUUACUCACAUGAGUAGCAUCAUUGGCUGCAAUAAGACAAUUCAUCAAAUGCAUAAAUCUUUUAGAAUCGCUGGCUUUGUUUUGUUAAGGUGAAGCAGGAUGUUAAAAUAACUUUGUUCCUGAAAGUUUAACACGGAACUUUACAGUGGCAGGAAGAAGAAAAGGACCAAGCAAUUGACAAAUUCCUAAAAAGAAGUUGAAAUAAAUUUUUAAAAGACACACUGAAAAUUCUAACAGAAAUACAGAAAUAAUCUUUGCUCUACUCUGUCUCUUCAUAGUGCAAAAACAAGUUGUCCAUGUUCUGAAAUAGAGAAUUUUAGAAAAUUAAAAUAAAUAAUUUCAAACUAACACAUUUUUCUGUGAUACACUGUGCCAAAUUGGGCAUUAUCAGAUUACUGAUAUGCUUCUUCAAAUGAUUCAUGGAACACUUAAUGUUGUAAUAUCUCACUGAUAUGCAUCCUGCUGGGAUUUAUUGACAAUAUAACGUUUCUAAAACUAAAUAACCUAAUGUUAUGUGCAUAUGAUGUCCUGAAUUAACAGAGCUCAGUAUUGCAAUACAUUUUGAAAAACCCAGACUUGCAACACCUAAUAUCAUAGUGGAUAGAUGAUUCUAACAUGACAUUAAAUUCUGGUUCUGUCUAUACAUCACCUCUUCCCAUAUGGGAACACGUAUAUACUGAAAAAUUAGUUAUGCACUAGAAAACCUACAGCCUUUUCAGAAUACUGGUUUAUGGUUCUGGAGGAUUUGUGAAAUGGCAUUUCUAUGGAUUUGAGGUGCAGUAAUUCUGGACAAAAGUUUGAUGCCACUAGCACUAAUAGGUCUCUCCUCACUGUAAUAAGGUAGGUGCAUGUGGGUUUUUUUUCCUUGUAUAUAUAAUGAAGUUUUCUGUCUGGGUUUCUUAAAUAUAUUAGCCUAAUAACACUCUGUGAGAUUUUUCUACAGAUGGGAGCAAUGAGAAAUAAAAUCACAGGAUGUCAGCAGUGGAAGCUCUCUCCUAAAUCUGUGACAGAAUCACACUACUCUCUUUCCUCUCAACCUCCUCUGCUUUUCACAAUCUUUCAGGAUCAUCCUUCUCAAGUAAAAGCCCAAGUCAGAAUUCAGCUUAUAUUGUUUUAAACUAUUUGACAGAAAGUCUCCCCUCAAAAGCCAGACAAUUAUAUGCUCAUAAUUCAUUAACAGAAUUAUCCACUAAUCCUAAUUAACACUAUUCUUCAUGAUUUUCACUUGAAAAUUAAGUAUAUAAAGCAGUGGAAAAGCAAAUUUAAAAGAAAAAAGGAUAAAUUCUCUUUCUACUUAGAACAACCGAGUGUAUUGCCAAUGUAACAUAGCUGUGACUAAAUAAAGUAUUAAAAACUAAAGAGUUUUUUAUUACUGCAAUGUUUUGGAUGAGCUAUUAGAUUAUAAAUAAACACUAAAGCUAUGUGUUGCAUAUGACAGACCCAACUACAGAAGAAAUCAUAUCUAUUGGUUUUCCUCUUUUUAAACAGAUGUACGAGUUCAAUCCCAGUGUCUAUAUAAAAUAAGUCUUUGAGUUCAGUAGGAGAUUUGCUCUAUGAAAAAUAGGAAACAGGGUAUUAGCAGCCUCGAGGACUCCAAGGAAUGGAGCAAUUUCAACUUCCACUUUAGUCAGUGGAAAUUAUGGCUAGAUAGAUGACAAGAAACAGCAUGCAGAAUCAGUUUUAAAGCUGCUGCAAACAACUACCACCUAUUUUCUUACCAGAGAAAAUCGGUAGGAUGCAUCUC